AUGGCUAAGAGACAAGCGGUGUAUCAAUUGCUCAAAUGCUUUUUAGAAAAGCAGAGCACACCAGGGAUAGAUUGUAAAAAGGAUCUCCCUGGACUUUUAGAUUAUGGGAUUGCUAAGGGUUGUUUUAUUGAUCCGAAUGAAGUUUUUGAGAGGGAGCAGUGGAAAGUGUUUGGGGAUAAGAUAUUUGAUGCAGCUACGCAGGAUGAUAAGGUGGCUAAAAAGAUGAUGAAACCGUGGCGGGCAGUGAGUAAUGCUUUGGCACAGUAUGAGGCAGAGCAGAAGGCUGCAGCAGCCGCUGCGCAGUGCUUAGGAACGCCGCUUACUCGGGAGAAGGACAUGGGUGAUAGCUGCCUGUUACCUCCCACAAUGAAUACUUUUACUAUGCAGACAGGAAAAGUAGUUUCAGAUUCUGUGUUUUCGCCUCCUGCAUCUCCCCAAGCUGUUAGUGCCCCCUCUGCAUCGUUAGAGCAUGAGUUAUUACCUACAGCCCCACCUUUUGAACAAUCCCCCACAGCCUGCCCUCAACCGCCACCGCCUGAGAGCCAGUCGGCAGCACUUUCACUCCCUUCUGAGCAAGCUAAUAGUUCACUUAGUGUAAACACAGACUCAGGAAUUCAAGAGAUAGCUAAGGAACGAGAGGAAUUUUGGAGAGAGGUUGCUAAGAAUAUUGCUGCUGAGGGAGACAUAGAUUCUGCCAGAGAGUUUGUACAGGCUUUUCCAGUUGAAUUUUCACCUCCUAAUGCUCAAGGACAGAUCACUGUUAAUAUCAGACCUUUAGAUUGGAAAGUGCUUACCCAACUGCAAGCCACUGUUAAUGAAUCUGGGUUAAAAGGGGAACCAACUCGUCAAAUGCUUGAUUAUUUAUGGGGCUCUAUGCUCUUGCUACCGAAUGAUAUUAAAAAUAUCACUAAGCUAACACAGCACCAGCGUAUGCUGUUUGGAGCUUACUGGCAGACUUUAUGCCAGCAGUCGGUAGCAACGCAGUGGGGAACAGGAGAUCCUUUACAUGGGGUAACUUUAGAGGAAUUAAUGGGUCUGGGAAAUUACACCCGGACAGAAGCACAGGCUCUCAUAGGUCCUGAUAAGGUUCGGGAAAGCAUGAAUUUAGCACGACGAGCAAUAGAUCAUAUUAAGCAACCAGGGGGGUUACCAUCACAUAUGAGUAUCAAACAGGGAAGAGAUGAGCCAUUUGGUACCUUUAUAGAUCGCGUAGCAAACGCUAUUGUAGCAACUGGGCUUCCAGACUAUAUGCAUGGUAUUUUGCUUAAACAAUGUGCUAUCCAGAAUUGUAAUCCCACUGCACGUAGUGUGUUAGUUACUCUGCCUGCUACUUGGACUAUUGAGGAGGCACUAGAGAGAAUGUCACAGGUCCCUGUAGGUCCCCAAGCUAUGAUUGUUAAUGCAAUAAAGGAACUUGGAAAGGAACUGGGAAUAGGGAUGAAACAGCAGGCUGAGGUAGCUCAGAGGCAGAUUGAGGCAAAUCAGAGUCAGGUUUUAGCUGCCCUUGCACCUUUGCAAAAUCACCGGAGUGGGUCUCGACGACAGACCACCCGACUGUGA
rnacentral:lncRNA from 1 species